rnacentral:rRNA from 1 species
AUUGAACGCUGGCGGCAGGCCUAACACAUGCCAGUCGAGCGGAUGAAGGGAGCUUGCUCCUGGAUUCAGCGGCGGACGGGUGAGUAAUGCCUAGGAAUCUGCCUGGUAGUGGGGGAUAACGUCCGGAAACGGGCGCUAAUACCGCAUACGUCCUGAGGGAGAAAGUGGGGGAUCUUCGGACCUCACGCUAUCAGAUGAGCCUAGGUCGGAUUAGCUAGUUGGUGGGGUAAAGGCCUACCAAGGCGACGAUCCGUAACUGGUCUGAGAGGAUGAUCAGUCACACUGGAACUGAGACACGGUCCAGAAUCCUACGGGAGGCAGCAGUGGGGAAUAUUGGACAAUGGGCGAAAGCCUGAUCCAGCCAUGCCGCGUGUGUGAAGAAGGUCUUCGGAUUGUAAAGCACUUUAAGUUGGGAGGAAGGGCAGUAAGUUAAUACCUUGCUGUUUUGACGUUACCAACAGAAUAAGCACCGGCUAACUUCGUG